CGAACGGGUGAGUAAUGCUUCGGAAUCUGCCCAGUAGUGGGGAAUAACCAGCCGAAAGGUUGGCUAAUACCGCAUACGAACUACGGUUGAAAGCGGGGGAUCGCAAGACCUCGCGCUAUUGGAUGAGCCGAAGUCGGAUUAGCUAGUUGGUAGGGUAACGGCCUACCAAGGCGACAAUCCGUAGCUGGUCUGAGAGGACGACCAGCCACACUGGGACUGAGACACGGCCCAG
rnacentral:rRNA from 1 species